UUGAAAUUUUGUAUCUUGUUACAUAUGAAUCCUUUAUAUUAAAUUAAUUAGACUGAUUAUAUUCCUCAGAUGCCGUUAAUUUCAUUCUUCUAUACAUUGUUGGAAAAGGGACGGACUUUUCUUAAGAAGUGAGUCCAAGCGAUGCUAGGCUCUACGAUGGGAGUGAAACUGGGGGGGCAAUCUCAUCUCUCACUUUGCAUUAUUUAAGUAGGGGAUACUCUUUAUAUCAUACAUGACCGUGAAUUAUAUAAACAAUAAUUAAUCAUGUCCAAUUUCAGAAUCAGCUCGAAAAUGUCAUCUCGGGGUGCCAAUUUUUUUUAGUAAGGAGUCAUUUAGCUCUUUUUUUUUUGGUAGAACAUUUAGCUCACUUUGAUACAAGGUCAUUAAAUAUGCUUCUCCUGAAGAGGGCAAGACCAGUUCACCAAAACAAAAUGGUCAUAUUACUGAUAUUAAGAGAAAUGCGCAUGGAGAAGAGACACGUUGAAAGAUAAAUUAAGGAAAAAAGAAUUACCUAACUCUGCAAACAUGGUUCAACAUAUUCCCUCACUAUUUUUAAUCUCUCUAUAUUAUUCUAAUAGAACAUUUUAGGAUCUGGAAUGGGUAAAAAACAAAUAGAAAUUGGUGAAAGCUCCCUAUCUUUUAUCAAUGAAAUCAUAUAUAAUGGUAGCAAGUGAUCCUUGGAUGGUGAUUGUUGCUUGUAAGUGAUGAAAUUCGUUCGCCUCCCCACUAGCUGAUUAAACCAUAACUUUCAAAGUAGGGGAUAAUCUCAAGCAUGCAAUUCACUUAGGAACUCUAUAUUAUUUGAGAACAAGGACAAAAAAUAAGCAACAGUAAGCCAGAAGAAUUGAUCAUAUCGUCUUGACCACCCGCAGUAUAUAGCUACACACCAACCACUAUAGAAGAAACUAGGCCCAAAAUAGUUUGCUAGAGAUGAAUCAUCGACAGGAUAUUGCAAUUAGAGUGCAAUAUGUAAUUAUCGAAAAUCUACACCAAUGCCAAGAAUUUCUGCUCCAACAAGCCCAACAACAACCAUGCAUGCUUUCUAGGCAGCAAAGUUACCAUUGAACAACAAAAAUAAUGGAAAUGGCAGAGAUGGCCUCAAAAGAGAGAUCCAUUCAGCUUACUUUCUAUUCAUAAAGAUCCUUGGGAUCACUUGGGUAUUUUCUGUUAGGUUCCGAUCAAGCAGCACAAAGUUGGAUUUCAAAAUUAUUUAUGAAGUCCAAGAAAACCCAAAACCCUGAACCCUAGGAUCCCCUUGAUGUAUUCAACCAAAUUAACAAAUUAUAAUGAAUUGAAGCAUAUAAUCAUAUAAAUACCUCGAAACGCUAUUUCCAAUAUUUCCACAAGUAUACAAGUGUGUACCCUCCAACUGAUGAUCUACACAGGAACUGGUUCAAAAAGACGCUCCUUAAAUUUGAACGUCGGACUCAAGUGCACCUUGACUCGAUUUGGUCGAACCACUUUCUGAGACUAACUUAGGCCUCUUCUUGGCUUCUUCGCAACUUGACUAGCCCUUUUAAGAUUCUUCUAGCGCCUUGUCCUAAAUCUAAUUAGACUUAGAUUAGACUAGAAGGACUUGUCCUAAAGGGCUAAGGGUGUAAGAGAGAGAGGGAAAGAGUUUCUUAUUUUAAUAGGACAAGAAGGCUGAAUUGAUUCAAAUGCCCUCUUCUCAUCUACCGACCUCUAUUUAUAUUUGAAGAGGGGGUGUGUGAAGCAUCUCCCCAAGUGUUCCAACCGCCACAUCAAUUGGCAUAUUAAAAUUUAAAAGACUUAUAUGAUAAAGUCUCUUCGGGAACACAUACGUCAUUUUACAACCUCUCACGUGCGCAUCCGAGAAAAGAAGCCUAUGGCAUCCCAAUUUUAAAUCAGAAAACCUCUGAUUUUGCCACGUGUAAAUGGAGGUUUUUUCAGAGUUUAUCUAACGUAAAUGGAUGCUCAAAAUCAGAUUGAGAUAAGCCUCCUUUUGCCUUAAAGCAGGACUCUUAGGCGACUCUUCAUGAGUUCUGCACGUGCGUGCCUUGCAAUCUCCCUCUUCCAUGCCAUAAUUUGCCAACACAUGCCAUAAAAAAUGUGCUAGGCCGAUGGGUGGUUGGAUAAGGAUCCACAUGUGUCUUAAACCCAUCUAAGGACUCUCCAAGCCCCUCCAUGCCAAAAAUUACUGCCGCCCACCAUUAUUUGCGCCAAGAUGAGAUAGAGUCCAUUCUACUUUGGACUUUAUCUAUUUCACACCAAUUUGGGCCAUGUGGCGCCAUCUCAUAGCUGCCCACAUCUAAGAAAAAUCCAAAUUAAUGCUCAAUUAAUUUGGUUCACAAAUUAAAUCGGAUUCAAAUCGAAAUUGAUCAAAAUAGAAAUUAGGAUUAGCCUACAAGUGCUAGCUUGUCAUUUAACCACUCAAUUAGGAUCUGACUCAUAAAUUAAUUCAAAUAAAAUUUUUGAUCAAUUUUUUUAUGUGGGUGAUCUAUUGGACUCCACACCUAGUCAGCAGUAGAUUCGAAUACAUGUUGACCUGAUUUGAUUAGACUCUAUCUAAUCAAUUUAAAUCAAACUCAUGUAGACUCGAGUUGUCAAAUUAGAACCUUUUCUAAUUGACUUAUGAAAUAAUCUUUUUAAUUCAUAAAAACCUAUGUCUUGAUUGACAUAUAGCACCACGUCAUGCUUAUCCAAAAGACGUAGAAUAUUUUGAUAGAAAUACCUUCAGUGGUAAAUUAUCGUGCAAUUUAAUCCUUCAAUCAUCUUUCAUCCUGAAUAAGUAAUGGGUAUGAAAAAAUGUCAAACCCUAAUACUUACUCAAAUAAAUCUUAAUUCACUAAUGAUGACUCAACUUAUGAAACAUUAGAAAUUAUUUUUUAAUUUUCAUCUUACUUUGAUCAAAGACUUCCUGAGUCAUCAAUUGAUAAGAUUGCUUAAGAUGAUAUCUCCCAUUACCAGGAGUGAUCGAUUUCUUGUUGACUUAUUCACUACCUCCAUAUAUAUCUCACCAUAUUUAAAACACCCC
rnacentral:lncRNA from 1 species